AAUUUAUUAAGAGACGGCGAGAGAUCUGGCUCUGUGACCCGUCGACAACUUGUCCUUCGACUACGCUCGGGAUAAAGUGCCACAUCCAGCCCUGCAAAGGGAAGAUAAAAG
rnacentral:ncRNA from 2 species